UUUUUUGGCAACAUCUGUAGCAUGUGGAAGUUCCAAGGCCAGAGACUGAAACUACACUACAGCAGGAAACAGAGCCACAGCAGUGACAACCCUGGAUCCUUGAACCAGGAGGCCACCAGGAAACUUCUUAAGUGCAUUCUUUUUUCUUGCAGUUCUUGUUGUCUGAGCAUCCCAUUAUCUGAGGGGCAGCUGGGUCCACUAGUGAUAUGUCCAGCUAUCUGUGGAACCAGAAUUCUUGGAACUGAAUCUCAGCUCCAGCCCUGAGUAUCUGUGAUAGGCAGAAUAGUUGAUCCCAAGUAUACCCAGAAUUGAAUUGCUGGAGCCUAUGAGUAUCAUCUUACACAGCAAAGGGGAUUUUACAAAUGUGAUUAAGUUAAAGAUCUUAAGGUAGAAAGAUUAUUUUGGAUUGUUGAGGUCUGGAUUAUCUAGGUAGGUACUAAAUGCAGUCAUAAAUAUCCUUAUAGGAAGAAACUGAGGCAGAUUUGACAUGGAAGAGAUAGCAGAAAAAGUGGUCUUGGAAACAAGAGGUCAGAAUGAUGCAGAGAAGGGGUCAUGAGCCCAGGCCUGCAGGCAAGGAAGGCAAGGAAAUAGACUCUCCUCUGGGGUCUUUGGGAAGAACUAACCCUGUCAAAACUUUAAGUUAAUGGAAAUGAAUUAUAGCCAUCCUUCUGACCUCCAGAACUAUGAGAUCAUAAAUUUGUGUUUCUUUAAGUUUGUUGUGUUAUGUUACAGCAAUAGGACACUAAUACAGUGGCUUUGUGUCCUUGGGCAAGUUCCUAACCACUCUGUGCUUCAGUUUUACAGUCUGUAAUGUGGGGGGGGGGGGGAAGCACCUUUCAUCCAGUGGUUGUGAAAAUCACUGAGUUGGUAUGUCAUCGGACAUGUAUCAGGCACUCAAUAAGCAUUUGAUCGUUUAAUUCUUACAUUCAGUAGUUUUAAUCACACAGUUAGAAGUAGAGUCAGGACUUCUACACAAGUUUUUUUCUGACUCCAGUUCCACUAUAAAACAAGAUGGUGAAAAACCAUAAACAGAUCAAAUAGGAUGCACUACAACAUUUUAGGUUUCACUUUACAAGGGAUCAUUGCGUAAGGAAAAUGCUACUUUCUGUCACCUCAUCUGUGGUUUUAGAAAAGCCAAUUUUACAUUGAGUGAAAGUUCAAUUCCUUCUAUGUUGAAAGAGGUGUAAAUAGAUAUUCUCAAAUCCCCUCAUUUCAUACUUAAUUUGUAGAUUAUUAUUUCUAGUUCCCACAUUUUGCUUUUUGAAUCCCUUAAUAGGUAAUCUUUCUAAAGGGUUUUAUAUUUCCCUGUUUAACUCUGCCUCACAUUUGGGAUAUCGACUUAACAACAAUCUUAAGUACGUACUAUAUGUUGGCUUCAUUCCACAAGCUUACAGAAAGCAACCCAGUGAUUCAUAUCUUUCCUUCCUUCCAUCCAUCCAUUCAUCCAUCCAUCCAUCUAUCUGCUGAUCUUCCUGCUCAUCUGACUUUUGAUUCAGUAAGCAAACAUCCUUGGACCACAAAUAUGGGCUAUUUAUACCUCUAUUAGGCCCUGAUACAGAUGAUAAAUUGUAGUCUCUUCCCAGAGAGGAGCUGAAGUUGGGUUUUAGAGCCAGAUACAUAAUCAAAAACUUCAAAGGAAUGUGGCAAGGAUAGUGAUCGAGGUUUGCUCAGAGAGCGAAUGGUUUGCUCAGAGAGUGAAAGGAAGGGAAGUGGAGGGAUGACUCAACCAGACAGGAGGCUGGGGUUGUAAGGAAGAAUUCGCAGAGGAAACGUGGGGCUGAAGAUGCGAGCUUUAGAAAAGAGGAGGUCCAAAAGAAAAGAGCCUCAAUAAAAGCCUUAGAAACAUUAAAAGGAAAAGAUGCUAUGAAUAGAUUAGACAGGGUAUUUUAUAACUUAUGUAAAAAAAAAAAUUCUCUUUGCUCUUCCCAUAAAAGAAUAUAGAUUAGCAUUUGGUUGUCUGGUAGAAAUAAUUUAGAAUAACAUACCAGGAUACUAUAUGUGAAGACAGGCAGCUUUCUGAGAUAUGAUGCAUGCAUGCAUUUCUUUCUUCCUUUUUUUCCCUGAAACAUUACUGACAGUCACUGCUAUAGUCUAGCACUCUAGAGGUUGACAUAUGCUGAGUGACAUCUGAGAUAAGAGUAGAAUACAUUUGAAUGUGCCGAUAAAGAAAAAAUGGAAAAGGGAUGAAAUUACAGAGACAUAAAGCUGUAUCUUUAAAGCUCUUAGGAGGACAAAUUGCUAAUCAGGAAUAGAACUGUAUAGAGAGGCUUGAUAAGUUCAAAUGCAGAAAUCCUUCUUGGAUGGAAACUGUUUCUACAGUGUAGUAGUAUGAGCAGUCUAAUGAGAUCUGAUUGAAAGUGCUGACUCCAUUAGGUGUGAAGGAGAAUUUUCAAGAGAUUUUCAGAUGUCUGAAUGAACAGUAAUAAGCCCAAUAGGGCCAAGGUGGGGUGUCCAAUUGGCCAAGCAGCAUAAAAGCUCGCUUUGGAAACUCCUCAUUUAUGAUAGUUCAUUCUGCUCCCCUGAAUUUCUGACAAGUGAAACCAUCUGCAAGGAACUAACACUGACUUUGAUCAAGUCAAUCACAGCUUCAACUUACCUAAAAAAUAUAAUUCCACUAUAUCCUAACAUUUUAUGCUCAUUGAAACACAUUGACACACACACGUGAGGACACCCCCCCACACAUAUACCCACACACUAAUAUUUAUAAAGCAUACAUAAUUCCAACUCUUAUCCUGUCAACAAUUUCCAAAGUAAUAAUUUCUUCUAAUAAAAGGAUUCAAUUGUUUAUUUUUUUUUUUUCAGAAGUCGUGGUUACUUCACGGGUAUUUUUUUUCCUAAUUUUUAGAUUUCCUUUUCAUUAGGAUCAUUGGACAUUUAGUGUAGAGGGAUUACAAAUCGUUAAGAAUAUGUCCCUGCGGAGUUCCCGUUGUGGCACAUGGUUAACGAAUCCGACUAGGAACCAUGAGGUUGUGGGUUCGAUUCCUGCCCUUGUCAGUGGGUUAAGGAUCUGUGGUGCAGGUUGCAGAUGUGGCUCAGAUCUCACGUUGCUGU
rnacentral:lncRNA from 1 species